AGGUGUCCCUCGCAGUGAGGGAGCAGCAAGCAGAUUGGCCGAUGCAGAGCAGAGUGGACGGGCUGGGGUGUAAGGUUUAACCGAGUCCUGGAUGUUUACU